rnacentral:rRNA from 1 species
AAGUACCCUGAGGGAAAGUUGAAAAGCACUUUGAAGAGAGAGUUAAAGAGGACGUGAAACCGAUGAGAAGGAAACGGAUAGAGCCGACGUAUCUGGCCUGUAUUCAGCCGCUCCGGUUGUGCGCCUCGUCUAGCGCGCGUGGUCCCGCCUCGGGCCGCGUGUGUCGGCGACGGUGCGCCUCAGUGGUGCAUUUACAGGUGAAGUGCGCCGAGGCUUGUGGUGGCGGCGAGCGGAUCCUCGUCUUGAGGCCACGCCUUCACGGGCGUGGUACCCGGACGCUCGGGGGAAGCUCGUCCGCUCUGCAUGUGUGAGAGUGCGGUUGGGGCGGUGUGGUGACUCGUUGUGCUCGCUGGUGGCGGUCGCAUGCGACACGUGCUAGUUGGGCGCUUCGGCGCUGCGCCGUCUUUCGCGCUCGUCCUCGGUGUGAAAGUCGGUCAUCUAUCCGACCCGUCUUGAAACACGGACCAAGGAGUUUAGCGUUUACGCGAGUCAUUGAGUGUUGUGUGAAACUCAAAGGCGCAAUGAAAGUGAAGCUAUGGUGAUAUGCGAUCGAGUGUGCCACGGUGCGCCCGAGCAGCAUAGCCCCGUCCCGAUCGCUUGCGAUGGGGCGGAGGUAGAGCGUAUGCGCUGAGACCCGAAAGAUGGUGAACUAUUCCUGAGCAGGACGAAGCCAGAGGAAACUCUGGUGGAAGUCCGAAGCGGUUCUGACGUGCAAAUCGAUCGUCUGACUUGGGUAUAGGGGCGAAAGACUAAUCGAACCAUCUAGUAGCUGGUUCCCUUCCGAA